rnacentral:rRNA from 1 species
AUACGGAGGAUCCGAGCGUUAUCCGGAUUUAUUGGGUUUAAAGGGGGCGCAGGCGGCCAUUUAAGUCAGCGGUUAAAUCGUGGGGCUCAACCCCAUUCUGCCGUUGAUAAUGGGUGGCUUGAUUGCGGCCGAGGUUGGCGGAAUUCGUUGUUUAGCGGUGAAAUGCAUAGAUAUGACGAAGAACACCGAUUGCGUAGGCAGCUGACCAGACCGCAAAUGACGCUCAUGCACGAAAGUGCGGGGAUCGAACAGGAUUAGAUACCCUGGUAGUCCGCACAGUAAACGAUGAAUACUUGUUUUCGGCGAUAUAAUGUCGGAGGCAAAGCGAAAGCGAUAAGUAUUCCACCUGGGGAGUACGCCGGCAACGGUGAAACUCAAAUGAAUUGACGGGG